rnacentral:rRNA from 1 species
CGGAACGUGUCCUGUUGUUGGGGGAGUAACUGAUCGAAAGAAUCAGCUAAUACCGCAUGAGACCUGAGGGUGGAAAGCGGGGGAGUCGCAAGACCUCGCGCGACAGGAGCGGCCGAUGUCUGAUUAGCUAGUUGGUGAGAUAAAAGCUUACCAAGGCGACGAUCAGUAGCUGGUCUGAGAGGAUGAUCAGCCACAUUGGGACUGAGACACGGCCCAGACUCCUACGGGAGGCAGCAUG